GAUGAACGCUGGCGGCGUGCUUAACACAUUUUAGUGGCGGACGGGUGAGUAACACGUGAGCAAUCUGCCUUUCAGAGGGGGAUACCAGUUGGAAACGACUGUUAAUACCGCAUAACAUAUCGAGAUCGCAUGAUAUUGAUAUCAAAGAUUUAUCGCUGAAAGAUGAGCUCGCGUCUGAUUAGAUAGUUGGUGAGGUAACGGCUCACCAAGUCGACGAUCAGUAGCCGAACUGAGAGGUUGAUCGGCCACAUUGGGACUGAGACACGGCCCAGACUCCUACGGGAGGCAGCAGUGGGGGAUAUUGCGCAAUGGGGGAAACCCUGACGCAGCAACGCCGCGUGAAGGAAGAAGGCCUUCGGGUUGUAAACCUCUGUCCUCAGUGACGAAUAAAAUGACGGUAGCUGAGGAGGAAGCCACGGCUAACUACGUG
rnacentral:rRNA from 1 species